rnacentral:rRNA from 1 species
ACUACGGGUGGCAGCAGUGGGGAAUAUUGGGCAAUGGGCGCAAGCCUGACCCAGCAACGCCGCGUGAAGGAAGAAGGCUUUCGGGUUGUAAACUUCUUUUCUCAGGGACGAAGAAAGUGACGGUACCUGAGGAAUAAGCCACGGCUAACUACGUGCCAGCAGCCGCGGUAAUACGUAGUUGGCAAGCGUUAUCCGGAUUUAUUGGGUGGAAAGGGCGUGUAGGCGGGAGCGAAAGUCAGAUGUGAAAACUCAGGGCUCAACCCUGAGCCUGCAUUUGAAACUGUGUUUCUUGAGUGCUGGAGAGGCAAUCGGAAUUCCGUGUGUAGCGGUGAAAUGCGUAGAUAUACGGAGGAACACCAGUGGCGAAGGCGGAUUGCUGGACAGUAACUGACGCUGAGGCGCGAAAGCGUGGGGAGCAAACAGGAUUAGAUACCCGGGUAGUC